AAACUCACUUUAUAGCUAACUAAAAUCAUUUAUAUAUUUAUGUACUUUACCAACAAUCUUUGCAUCAUCAAGUCUAUCCUCUUUGUGUUCAUUUCAUUGUCUCAUUACAGAUUCACUUUGAAUUCUGGCAAUUGUUUAAUGAAAACUAGAUGUGUAGCACAAUUAAAUUAAACCUACCUAUUCAUAUUCCUUUCCCAUGUAUAGAACUUGUUCUGUUUGCUUUGCCAUGAGUUUUUUUUUUUAAUUUGUUUUCUUUUUCUUGUAAUGUCAUUUCUA